UUUUUUUUUUUUUUUUUUUUUUUUUCCUUUUUAGGACCCCACCUUCAGCUUUUGGAAGUUCCCAGGCUAGGGAUCUAAUCGGAGCUGUUGACCUACACCACAGUCACAGCAACGCCAGAUCCUUAACCCACCAAGCGAGGCCAGGGAUCGAACCCGCAACCUCAUGGAUACUAAUCAGGUUCAUUACCACUGUGCCACCACAGGAACUCCUUCCUAUGUCAUUUCUAAUCCAACACAAUUUCAUCAACAAAAAUACUUAUGAUUGCAGGAAGACCAAAAGAAAUAUCCAAGAGAGAAGGACUCUGUGCUACCCUGACUCCCACCGGCCUGGAGGGGUGACCGUUAGCCACACCCACCUUGCCAAGUGAUGUCUCCCAGACUUUCUCCCCCCAUCCCGCUGCCUCCCUCCAUCAGUACCACCCCACCCCCCAAGCCGUUGGGGAGCCGCCUCUGACCUCUCCUGACCUCCACUCCAUCACCAUUUGGUCUCCAGCCUUUUGCCUGGUUACUCCCUAGAGUUUCCAAACCUCUCGCCCUCUCCACGGCCACAGCCAUCAGUUCUGCCCAAACGAUGGCAGCAAAUGCCUGAGGUCGCUCUCCCAAUUCAGGACCCAGCAAAAAUGGUAUCUGUCUGAGCAUCUUCCAGGGGCUGCCUGGGUGGAACCAGCUCUGCGCAUCGCUCCCUCUCUAUCUUCCCUCCCUGACCAGACGGUGGACCUUGCCGGGGGACGGGUGGGGGGGUGUCCUGGUAACUGGCUGGGGACCUGGGACAUCCCAGGCAUUUCAUGCUCCACACGUGGAUUCUCUGCUCUGCGGAGCUGUGUUCAGCUCUUGCUCUGCACACACACGUGGCAAAGCCCCGUUCGGUGAUGUGGCCACGGAAGGCUUUGCCUUCAGGGGCAGGAAGCGCCUCUCUUUUCUCUUUCUGUCAAGUUAGGCUCCUCUAUGACCGGGUUUAACAUAACUGCGGUCUGAAAAUCCCCUUUCUCCUCCGCUCCUCUUUCAUCUGCAGGCUGGCGACUGAUAACUCUUCCUCGCUGUCUCGGCUGCUCAGCUUCUUCCUCAGACACUGGAGAUAAGGAGACUGUUGGAGCACCUCAGAGAUGCCAUCUCUUGCCCUCACCCUCUGCCUCCCAGAAGACGGUAUAUGGUUUGCAAUGGGCCCUCUUUCUUAAAAGUCCAAGCCCUGAAGUUCCUUGGGAGCUUAGCCAUUAAGGAUCCAAUGUUGCCACUACUGUGGCUCAGGUCACUGCCAGGGCUUGGGUUCAAUUCCUGGCCAAGGAGCUUCCACAUGCCAUGGGUGAGACCAAAACAAGGAGUUCCCCUUGUGGCUUAGGGGGUUAAGGAUGCGAGUUUGAUUCCUGGUCUGGUUUAGUGGGUUAAGGAUCCAGUGUUGCCACAAGCUGCAGAGUAGGUAUGGAUUCAGCUAGGAUCCAGUGUUGCCAUGACU
rnacentral:lncRNA from 1 species